UCCAUCGCGAGGUGGAAUCUGAAGGAAGCCGAAGGCAAAGCGUUGGCCUGACGAACAGGAAUCGCAUAUAAGGCAUACAUGCCGGACAAGGAGGCCAUCAUCUCUAAAGUCCUGUACUUAUCCGGAAGGCAUGGAUG
rnacentral:ncRNA from 1 species